UACGGGGGGGGGCAAGCGUUGUUCGGAAUUACUGGGCGUAAAGGGCUCGUAGGCGGCCAACUAAGUCCGACGUGAAAUCCCCAGGCUUAACCUGGGAACUGCGUCGGAUACUGGAUGGCUUGAAUCCGGGAGAGGGAUGCGGAAUUCCAGGUGUAGCGGUGAAAUGCGUAGAUAUCUGGAGGAACACCGGUGGCGAAGGCGGCAUCCUGGACCGGCAUUGACGCUGAACAGCGAAAGCCAGGGGAGCAAACAGG
rnacentral:rRNA from 1 species